AGCUCCAAUAGCGUAUAUUAAAGUUGUUGCAGUUAAAAAGCUCGUAGUUGGAUCUCGGGUCCAGGCUUGCGGUUCGUUUCGCGACGAUACUGCUCGUCCUGACCUACCUCCCGGUUUUCCCCCGGUGCUCUUCACUGAGUGCCUCGGGUGGCCGGAACGUUUACUUUGAAAAAAUUAGAGUGCUCAAAGCAGGCAGUCUGCCUGAAUAACCGCGCAUGGAAUAAUGGAAUAGGACCUCGGUUCUAUUUUGUUGGUUUUCGGAACUUGAGGUAAUGAUUAAGAGGGACAGACGGGGGCAUUCGUAUUACGGUGUUAGAGGUGAAAUUCUUGGAUCGCCGUAAGACGAACUACUGCGAAAGCAUUUGCCAAGAAUGUUUUCA
rnacentral:rRNA from 1 species